GAUACCUUGGUUCUCAAAAACUGAGGGAAAUACUUACGCUACUUUGCUGCAUCAUCCUCUUCUCUUCGGGGAAAUCCAACGCAGUGCUCAAGAGGUAGUAGGGAGCCGCAUUAGUUCGCGGCAGCGAGGCGGGGAUGCGGCGCUGCGCUCCCGGGAUGUAGCAGCGAGGCGUCGAGGCAGCGCUGCGCUCAGGCACCGCAUCAAGCAGCAGUAGCGAGGCGGGAGGCGCACACGGAGAUGAAGGAGGAGAAAAUGGAGAGUCGGCCGGGGCGAGGAGUUCGCUGGCGUUGAAGCCACGGACCACGGUGCUGCAAGCUUUCAGGGGGCGGUGGCCAUGGGGGGGAGGCGGCGCUGAGCUCGGGCCGCAUGCCUCCUUUGUCGCUCCUUCUUUCUUUCUUCCCCAACUCCUCUCUUGCACGUCGUUGUCUUGCCGCCCACACAACAAAGAGAUCGAGGAAGAGGCGGGAGUUGGGAGAUGCGGCCGCGAGGGCGCCGCAUCAGUUCGCGGCAGUGAGGCGGAGAUGCGGUGCUGCGCUCCCGGGAUGCAGUAGCGAGGCAUCGAGGCAGCACUGCGCUCGGGCACCACAUCAAGCGGCAGCAGCGAGGCAGGAGGCGCACACGGAGAUGAAGGAGGAGAAAAUGGAGAGUCGACCGGGGCGAGGAGUUCGUCGGCGUCGAAGCCACAGACCACAGUGCUGCAAUCUUGCAGGGGGCGGUGGCCAUGGCGGGGAGGCAGCGCUGAGCUCGGGCGCCGCAUGCCUCCUUUGCCGCUCCUUCUUUCUUUCUUCCCCAACUCCUCUCUUGCACAUCGUCGUCUUGCCGCCCAUGCAGCAAAUAGAUCGAGGAAGAGGCGAGAGUUGGGUCAAUCAAUCUGUCGCAUGAGGAUGCGGCACUUCCUGUUCCAUCUAGAUCAACGGGCGCAGAGGGAGGUGGAAGAAGAGCCACGACCACCGAGCAAGAGGCUGCCGCCUAGCACGCAUCUUACUGCGGCUAUUUUGUCCAUGAGCUGGUGGAUAAGAGAAGUGCAUCUCUAAAAUUUAGAGUUUUGAACCCAAAGAGACGCAUCUAGACAAUGGUUGCAUGAGUGGUUCCUGUGUCAUAUACGCCAACAUCGUUGGAGAUUUGGGAUCGGAUGCUGCGCCAAGAACGAGGGACCAAGGUGCUGAAUUAACAGCAGGGGCAGAAUGAUUCUUCAGUUGUAAGAUCUAUGUUUCUAGCUUGCACCUUUAACUGGACGGUACUAAUUGGACAUAUAAUUGAUGAUUUAUGCACAACAAGAAAUCGGAGAAAGGUUAUUGGCAUAUCCCCGUCACUGACGAAGAUUUGCUAGAGAGGAAGAGGACCAGAAUGUUUUUCUAUUAUUGGAGACAUACAUAAUACAUAUAGAUAAACUUGGACUCAUUUACAACAGAGAUUUCUUGCCAAAAAUAUUAACUCUCUCCAGAAGUGGGCACUGACAAGGUUAUCCUAGACCACUUGGGGACAAUAUCAUCAAUUUCUUGCAUACUGCAUUGCAAGUUCAAAAAGCCAGUUUCUUAUUAUCUCUGUGUUCACCUAACUGCCAAGAAUCAUAAAAGGAUGCACCUAAUGAGGGAGCUGCACAGAUUUGGAACAACUUCUAGAAUAGGCAUCCAAGCAUUUUGGUUUGGUACCACUAAGCUGCCAGAGCAAGAUAGCUGGGAUGUGAGUCCCUAGGGCAAUGGUAAAUCACAAAUUGGCUGAUCUUUCAUGGGAAGCAUCAGACAAUGCCAAUGUCCAGUAGUAAGACUUGAUUGUGCAGGAUGAAUCAGAAACUAAAGAUGAUGAUCCCAUGGACACAGAAGAAGCUUCCUCUGUCCUUAUUGCUGCACUGCAGUCUUUCAACCAAGCUCUAGUGAAUGACGAUGAAGAAAAAGAUACCGUGACAGAGGUAGAUGUCUUCUUGCGUCCUACCCUAGAUGACAGGGGCUCUCUCGUCAGCAAAAUAGCUACUCUGGAUGCGCAGAUGACGAUCGCAAGAGAUUGUACCUUACGGAUAAGUAAAUGACUCUGAGGUCUACAUGUCAAGUAUAGAAAGAAAAACCUGACGACGACAAGUGUACUGUCGGGAGCUUUGCUGCCACUUCUUUGCCAGCCGGAGUGGCCUGUUUUUAGUGAUGAUCAUGGUGUACAUGCGUGUAUAUGUUGUGUUAUGAUAGACUGUACUACAAAAUUUUCUUGGAAUUGGUAAUUCUGUUUUUGUAUGCUAUGAAGGGCGUAUGUGUAUGCUGGUUCAGUAUACUCUGUUUGUACGUCUGGUUGGCAGGAGAUUAAGCAAUGGGCGAGGUUUCGUAUCU